ACUCAUAUUGAAACCUAGUGAUUUAUGAGUUAGUGGCGUUCGGGUGAGUAACGCGUGGAAAACCUGCCGUAUACCGGGGGAUAACACUUAGAAAUAGGUGCUAAUACCGCAUAAGCGCACGAGAGCGCAUGCUUUUGUGUGAAAAACUCCGGUGGCAUACGAUGGACCCGCGUCUGAUUAGCCAGUUGGCAGGGUAACGGCCUACCAAAGCGACGAUCAGUAGCCGGCCUGAGAGGGCGGACGGCCACAUUGGGACUGAGACACGGCCCAAACUCCUACGGGAGGCAGCAGUGGGGAAUAUUGCACAAUGGGGGAAACCCUGAUGCAGCGACGCCGCGUGAGUGAAGAAGUAUUUCGGUACGUAAAGCUCUAUCAGCAGGGAAGAAAAUGACGGUACCUGACUAAGAAGCCCCGGCUAACUACGUGCCAGCAGCCGCGGUAAUACGUAGGGGGCAAGCGUUAUCCGGAUUUACUGGGUGUAAAGGGAGCGUAGACGGCAGCGCAAGUCUGGAGUGAAAUGCCGGGGCCCAACCCCGGAACUGCUUUGGAAACUGUGCAGCUUGAGUGCGGGAGAGGUAAGUGGAAUUCCUAGUGUAGCGGUGAAAUGCGUAGAUAUUAGGAGGAACACCAGUGGCGAAGGCGGCUUACUGGACCGUAACUGACGUUGAGGCUCGAAAGCGUGGGGAGCAAACAGGAUUAGAUACCCUGGUAGUCCACGCCGUANACGAUGAUUACUAGGUGUCGGNGGACCAAGGUCCUCCGGUGCCGGCGCAAACGCAUUAAGUAAUCCACCUGGGGAGUACGUUCGCAAGAAUGAAACUCAAAGGAAUUGA
rnacentral:rRNA from 1 species